UACGUAGGGUGCAAGCGUUGCCCGGAUUUAUUGGGCGUAAAGCGCGUGUAGGUGGUUUGGUGUGCUCCGCGUGAAAUCUCCCGGCUCAACCGGGAGAGGUCGCGGAUGACUACCGAACUCGAGCCUGGGAGGGGAAAGUGGAAUUCCCGGUGUAGUGGUGGAAUGCGUAGAUAUCGGGAGGAACACCAGUGGCGAAGGCGACUUUCUGGACCAGAGCUGACACUGAGACGCGAAAGCGUGGGGAGCAAACAGG
rnacentral:rRNA from 1 species